rnacentral:rRNA from 1 species
UACGUAGGAGGCAAGCGUUGUCCGGAAUUACUGGGCGUAAAGCGCGUGUAGGUGGUGGGACACGUCUGCUGUGAAAGCGCCUGGCUUAACCGGGCGAGGUCGGCGGAAACUGUCCGACUCGAGGACGGUAGAGGGGGGUGGAAUUCCCGGUGUAGUGGUGAAAUGCGUAGAGAUCGGGAGGAACACCUGUGGCGAAGGCGGCCCCCUGGGCCGGCCCUGACACUGAGACGCGAAGGCGUGGGGAGCGAACGGG